AUGGCAAAGAGUCCGGUUCCUCUAGCGGACAAGCCGAGGGGAAAUCACGAGGAAAAGGCGCGCUCUAAAGUUCUCAGGUACCAAGAAAAAGGAUGAAGAUCAAGCAAAUGAAUCGAACCGAACACACACAUUUUAAGAACGCUUCCGCAUCCAAACUUUGUGUUAGAAACUAUGUAAAUUAAUGGUAGUUACUGUCUUGUAUGUGGUUUGUAACAACAAUACACGAAGGUUGUGUUAAUUUUGGGUUAAACUAUGAAAGUUUUUGUAAAGUCGUCAUUUUGGCGUUAAAU
rnacentral:lncRNA from 1 species